ensembl:lncRNA
GGACAGUUCCUAGAUGAAAUACUUUUCCUCCCAACUCUCUUUCUCCUUUGCGAGGCUGUCCGAUACAAAGGGGUGUACUGCAGCUCCAGCUCCCAAAGCCACACGCAGACCACCGCCUGUCUGGACCUGAGGGCUGAGCUUUCUUCUUUUCUUUCUGGCUGUGCCUUUUUACCUUCUCGACAAGUAGAAUGAGGUGAAAGGAGCUGUCCUUUUAAGUCUUUGCACCUCCAUUUGUCUGCAGCUUCUUUCUGCUCAGGCUUGUGUGUCUGUGUGUGCCAAUGCCCCCGGCCGACAGUACUGGACGCCCCUUAAAGUGGAGCCCCAGCUAUUUCUGAAUCUCGCUCUUUCUCUUUUUCGAGUUCCAGGAUCCUUCUUAUCACCCUUUCCCCCACAGUCUGGCUUAGUCCCUUUGUUUCCGAGCGUAAAAGCACUGGGAUUAAUAUAGUUUCCAGGCUGAGGGAAAACACAGGAAUGUGAUGUUGAAAAAGGACUUUUUUCUUUUCCUUACGCUUCUCUCCUCCCUUUAUUUCUUCCCACCUUUUUCUCUCCUCUUUUCCUUCUCCUUUUUCUUCUUCCUCUUGCCUGGAUUCAGUCCCCGCAAUGCCAGGACAACCUCAGUUUUGAUCCAGACCAAACUCAAACAACAGCAGCCACUGGAAAUCAAGGAAACUUCACUAAGAAUUUAACAGAUCAGCAAAACACCGCCUCCUUCCCAUUUCAGCAUGCAUUCACAGCGUAGGACAAACUGAAGAAAUGAACAGCAAAGUCAAGGGGAAAGCCCACAGUGACCAUGAACUCAGGAUUCUGCUGCUGCGGCUGCCCAGAGAAAUGCUGAGAAAGGGUAAUCCCCAAAAAGAAACACUCUGAAAUGUCAACAAGCUCACAGGUUUAAUCUGAAGUUGAGGAUUCUGCUUGGAUGUGGUGUUGGAUGUCGAGGAAAGUAGGAGGUAAAUGGGACAUUGAAGAUUCGACAUUCAUUGCAGCUGCAAACUGUAGUAAAAAAUCACUGGAGGACAGCAGACAGCUUUUCAUAGUCGGAGCACAAGAAAUGGAAUUUUGAAUUUUGAAUGGAGGAGCAAUAAGAGACAAGAUGGGAAGAAAAGGCAGAGCGAAGAAUACAGAGCCCUUGGCAUGCCACGGUAAAGGUGUUGGACUUGUUCUGAGUGCGGCAAAAAGCCAUUGAAGGAGUGAGUGUAUCAUGAUAACAUUUGCCUCUUAGAUAACUCUAAAAAUGGAUCAGAGUAUUGUAUAAGGUGUAGAGCCCUGGGUGGAAAGGUUGCAUAAAUUCAUGAUGCCGUUUUAUCCUAAAAUUCAGGAGACACCUGAGCCAAUGGGACAAACACACAGAACAACGUAGUCCUUUUCCCAUUUUCCAGCUGAUGACCUAGAACCAAACCUGGAUUUCUUUUUUCUUUUUAAAAAACAUCUUAUUGGGCUUCCCUGGUGGCGCAGUGGUUGAGAAUCUGCCUGCUAAUGCAGGGGACACGGGUUCGAGCCCUGGUCUGGGAAGAUCCCACAUGCCACGGAGCAGCUGGGCCCGUGAGCCACAACUACUGAGCCUGCGCGUCUGGAGCCUGUGCCCCGCAACGGGAGGGGCCGCGAUAGUGAAAGGCCCGCGCACCGCGAUGAAGAGCGGUCCCCGCACCGCGAUGAAGAGUGGCCCCCACUUGCCUCAACUAGAGAAAGCCCUCGCAUGAACCGAAGACCCAACACAGCC